GCCGAUUAAGAGUCGGUCGGAGUGACGGUACCUUCACAAGAAGCACCGGCUAACUACGUGCCAGCAGCCGCGGUAAUACGUAGGGUGCAAGCGUUGUCCGGAAUUAUUGGGCGUAAAGAGCGUGUAGGCGGCCCGAUUAGUCCGCUGUGAAAGUCCAGGGCUCAACCCUGGAAUGCCGGUGGAUACUGUCGGGCUAGAGUCCGGAAGGGGCGAGUGGAAUUCCUGGUGUAGCGGUGAAAUGCGCAGAUAUCAGGAGGAACACCAAUGGCGAAGGCAGCUCGCUGGGACGUGACUGACGCUGAGACGCGAAAGCGUGUGGGAGCAAACAGGAUUAGAUACCCUGGUAGUCCACGCUGUAAACGAUGGCAACUAGAUGUGGGGGGUGUCGACUCCCCCCGUGUCGAAGCUAACGCAUUAAGUUGCCCGCCUGGGGAGUACGGCCGCAAGGCUAAAACUCAAAGGAAUUGACGGGGGCCCGCACAAGCAGCGGAGCAUGUGGUUUAAUUCGACGCGACGCGAAGAACCUACCCUGGGCU
rnacentral:rRNA from 1 species